CUUGGCGGCCGCCUUGUACAUGCAAGUCGAGCGCAGGACGCAGGCAGAUCCCCUUCGGGGGUGAUGCCUGUGGAAUGAGCGGCGGACGGGUGAGUAACACGUGGGCAACCUGCCUGUAAGAUCGGAAUAACUCCGGGAAACCGGGGCUAAUGCCGGGUAAUCCUUUUUCUCGCAUGAGAGAGAGGUAAAAGAUGGCCUUUGGCUAUCACUUACAGAUGGGCCCGCGGCGCAUUAGCUAGUUGGUGAGGUAAUAGCUCACCAAGGCGACGAUGCGUAGCCGACCUGAGAGGGUGAUCGGCCACACUGGGACUGAGACACGGCCCAGACUCCUACGGGAGGCAGCAGUAGGGAAUCUUCCGCAAUGGACGAAAGUCUGACGGAGCAACGCCGCGUGAACGAUGAAGGUCUUCGGAUCGUAAAGUUCUGUUGUUAGGGAAGAACAAGUACCGUGCGAAUAGAGCGGUACCUUGACGGUACCUAACGAGGAAGCCCCGGCUAACUACGUGCCAGCAGCCGCGGUAAUACGUAGGGGGCAAGCGUUGUCCGGAAUUAUUGGGCGUAAAGCGCGCGCAGGCGGUUUCUUAAGUCUGAUGUGAAAGCCCACGGCUCAACCGUGGAGGGUCAUUGGAAACUGGGGAACUUGAGGACAGAAGAGGAGAGUGGAAUUCCACGUGUAGCGGUGAAAUGCGUAGAUAUGUGGAGGAACACCAGUGGCGAAGGCGACUCUCUGGUCUGUUUCUGACGCUGAGGUGCGAAAGCGUGGGUAGCAAACAGGAUUAGAUACCCUGGUAGUCCACGCCGUAAACGAUGAGUGCUAGGUGUUAGGGGGCUUCCACCCCUUAGUGCUGAGGUUAACGCAUUAAGCACUCCGCCUGGGGAGUACGGCCGCAAGGCUGAAACUCAAAGGAAUUGACGGGGGCCCGCACAAGCGGUGGAGCAUGUGGUUUAAUUCGAAGCAACGCGAAGAACCUUACCAGGUCGUGACAUCCUUUGGACCGCCUAGAGAUAGGGUCUUCUCUUUCGGGGACAAGUGAUCAGGUCGGUGCAAUGAUAGUCGGUCAGCAUCGUGAUCGAUCGAGAUGUGGGCUAAGUUCCCGGCCAAUCGAGCGCCAACUCUAUCUAGGCUGGACAAGCAUUCAGCUGGGCACUCUAAAGGGGGGAACCUG
rnacentral:rRNA from 1 species